UAGGGAAUCUUCGGCAAUGGACGGAAGUCUGACCGAGCAACGCCGCGUGAGUGAAGAAGGUUUUCGGAUCGUAAAGCUCUGUUGUAAGAGAAGAACGAGUGUGAGAGUGGAAAGUUCACACUGUGACGGUAUCUUACCAGAAAGGGACGGCUAACUACGUGCCAGCAGCCGCGGUAAUACGUAGGUCCCGAGCGUUGUCCGGAUUUAUUGGGCGUAAAGCGAGCGCAGGCGGUUAGAUAAGUCUGAAGUUAAAGGCUGUGGCUUAACCAUAGUAGGCUUUGGAAACUGUUUAACUUGAGUGCAAGGGGGGAGAGUGGAAUUCCAUGUGUAGCGGUGAAAUGCGUAGAUAUAUGGAGGAACACCGGUGGCGAAAGCGGCUCUCUGGCUUGUAACUGACGCUGAGGCUCGAAAGCGUGGGGAGCAAACAGGAUUAGAUACCCUGGUAGUCCACGCUGUAAACGAUGAGUGCUAGGUGUUAGACCCUUUCCGGGGUUUAGUGCCGUAGCUAACGCAUUAAGCACUCCGCCUGGGGAGUACGACCGCAAGGUUG
rnacentral:rRNA from 1 species